UACGUAGGGCGCAAGCGUUGUCCGGAAUUACUGGGCGUAAAGCGCACGUAGGCGGACUGUUAAGUCGGGGGUGAAAUCCUGGGGCUCAACCUCAGAAUUGCCUCCGAUACUGGCAGUCUCGAGUGCGGGAGAGGUGAGUGGAAUUCCCAGUGAUAGAGGUGAAAUUCGUAGAUAUUGGGAAGAACACCAGUGGCGAAGGCGGCUCACUGGCCCGUAACUGACGCUGAGGU
rnacentral:rRNA from 1 species